AUUGAACGCUGGCGGCAUGCUUUACACAUGCAAGUCGAACGGCAGCGCGGGGCAACCUGGCGGCGAGUGGCGAACGGGUGAGUAAUACAUCGGAACGUACCCAGUAGUGGGGGAUAACGUAGCGAAAGUUACGCUAAUACCGCAUACGUUCUACGGAAGAAAGUGGGGGACCUUCGGGCCUCAUGCUUUUGGAGCGGCCGAUGUCUGAUUAGCUAGUUGGUGAGGUAAAGGCUCACCAAGGCGACGAUCAGUAGCUGGUCUGAGAGGACGACCAGCCACACUGGGACUGAGACACGGCCCAGACUCCUACGGGAGGCAGCAGUGGGGAAUUUUGGACAAUGGGCGCAAGCCUGAUCCAGCAAUGCCGCGUGAGUGAAGAAGGCCUUCGGGUUGUAAAGCUCUUUUGUCAGGGAAGAAACGGCUGAGGAUAAUACCUUCGGCUAAUGACGGUACCUGAAGAAUAAGCACCGGCUAACUACGUG
rnacentral:rRNA from 1 species